CAGCCGCCACGGUAAUGCGAAGGGUGCAAGCGUUAAUCGGAAUUACUGGGCGUAAAGCGUGCGCAGGCGGUUUGUUAAGACAGAUGUGAAAUCCCCGGGCUCAACCUGGGAACUGCAUUUGUGACUGGCAAGCUAGAGUGUGGCAGAGGGGGGUGGAAUUCCGCGUGUAGCAGUGAAAUGCGUAGAUAUGCGGAGGAACACCGAUGGCGAAGGCAGCCCCCUGGGCCAACACUGACGCUCAUGCACGAAAGCGUGGGGAGCAAACAGGAUUAGAUACCCGCGUAGUCCCUGUCUCUUAUAC
rnacentral:rRNA from 1 species